rnacentral:sRNA from 1 species
GCUAGGCAUGGUGGCACAUGCCUGUAAUCCCAGAGACUUGGGAAGCUGAGGCAGGAGGAUUGCAAGUUCGAAGCCAGCCUUAGCAACUAAGUGAGCUCCUGACUCAA